GUUAUGCCAGCUUGGCGAUGGUUGUCCAAGUGGAAGGAUGUAGAUAGGUUUAGUAGGCAAAUCCGCUAGACCAUUAAUGAGAUCUGAUAGCAAGCUGUACUUGUACAGCGAAGUGGCAAAUACCCUGCUUCCAGGAAAAGCUUCUAAGCGAUAGUCAUAAAGAAAUCGUACCCUAAACCGACACAGGUGGUCAGGUAGAGAAUACCAAGGCGCUUGAGAGAACUCUGCUGAAGGAACUAGGCAAAAUGGUACCGUAACUUCGGGAGAAGGUACGCUGCCGAUGGUGAGUAGUCAUGCACUACAAAGCUAUUGGCAGUCGCAGAUACCAGGCCGCUGCAACUGUUUAUUAAAAACACAGCACUCUGCAAACACGAAAGUGGACGUAUAGGGUGUGAUGCCUGCCCGGUGCUGGAAGGUUAAUUGAUGGGGUUAGCGUAAGCGAAGCUCUUGAUCGAAGCCCCAGUAAACGGCGGCCGUAACAAUAACGGUCCUAAGGUAGCGAAAUUCCUUGUCGGGUAAGUUCCGACCUGCACGAAUGGCAUAAUGAUGGCGGCGCUGUCUCCAGCAGAGACUCAGUGAAAUCGAAAUCGCAGUGAAGAUGCUGUGUACCCGCGGCUAGACGGAAAGACCCCGUGAACCUUUACUACAGCUUUACAUUGAACUUUGACCUUACCUGUGUAGGAUAGGUGGGAGGCUUUGAAGCAGGCACGCCAGUGUCUGUGGAGCCAUCCUUGAAAUACCACCCUGGUAAUGUUGGGGUUCUAACUCAAGCUUAACAGAGCUGAGGACAAUGUAUGGUGGGUAGUUUGACUGGGGCGGUCUCCUCCUAAAGAGUAACGGAGGAGUACGAAGGUGCGCUCAGAACGGUCGGAAAUCGUUCGAAGAGUAUAAAGGCAAAAGCGCGCUUAACUGCGAGACCCACAAGUCGAGCAGAUACGAAAGUAGGUCUUAGUGAUCCGGUGGUUCUGUAUGGAAGGGCCAUCGCUCAACGGAUAAAAGGUACUCUGGGGGUAACAGGCUGAUACCGCCCAAGAGUUCAUAUCGACGGCGGUGUUUGGCACCUCGAUGUCGGCUCAUCUCAUCCUGGGGCUGAAGCAGGUCCCAAGGGUAUGGCUGUUCGCCAUUUAAAGAGGUACGCGAGCUGGGUUUAGAACGUCGUGAGACAGUUCGGUCCCUAUCUACCGUGGGCGUUGGAAAUUUGAGAGGAUCUGCUCCUAGUACGAGAGGACCAGAGUGGACGAACCUCUGGUGUUUCGGUUGUGACGCCAGUCGCAUUGCCGAGUAGCUAUGUUCGGAUGGGAUAACCGCUGAAAGCAUCUAAGCGGGAAGCCCACCUUAAGAUUAGAUUUCCCUAAAGAGCCGUUGUAGACUACGACGUUGAUAGGUUGG
rnacentral:rRNA from 1 species